rnacentral:rRNA from 1 species
CCUACGCGUGGCAGCAGUGGGGGAUAUUGGACAAUGGGGGAAACCCUGAUCCAGCGACGCCGCGUGAGUGAAGAAGGAUUGCGGUAUGGAAAGCUCUGGCAGCAGGGAAGAAAGAAAUGAAGGUACCUGACCAAGAAGCACCGGCUAACUACGUGCCAGCAGCCGCGGUAAUAAGUAGGGGGCAAGCGUAAUCCGUAAUUACUGGGGGUAAAGGGAGCGGAGAAGGGUAUGCAAGUCUGGAGCGAAAGGCGGGGGCCCAACCCCCGGACUGCUCUGGAAACUGUGUAACUUGAGGGCAGGAGAGGUAAGCGGCAUUCCUAGUGUAGCGGUGAAAUGCGUAGAUAUUAGGAGGAACACCAGUGGCGAAGGCGGCUUACUGGACUGUAACUGACGUUGAGGCUCGAACGCGUGGGGAGCAACCAGGAUUAGAUACCCCAGUAGUC